CCUACGGGGGGCUGCAGUGGGGAAUAUUGGACAAUGGGGGCAACCCUGAUCCAGCCAUGCCGCGUGUGUGAAGAAGGCCCUCGGGUUGUAAAGCACUUUCAGUGAGGAAGAACGCCUGGUGGUUAAUACCCAUCAGGAAAGACAUCACUCACAGAAGAAGCACCGGCUAACUCCGUGCCAGCAGCCGCGGUAAUACGGAGGGUGCGAGCGUUAAUCGGAAUUACUGGGCGUAAAGCGCGCGUAGGUGGCUUGAUAAGCCGGUUGUGAAAGCCCCGGGCUCAACCUGGGAACGGCAUCCGGAACUGUCAAGCUAGAGUGCAGGAGAGGAAGGUAGAAUUCCCGGUGUAGCGGUGAAAUGCGUAGAGAUCGGGAGGAAUACCAGUGGCGAAGGCGGCCUUCUGGACUGACACUGACGCUGAGGUGCGAAAGCGUGGGUAGCAAACAGGAUUAGAUACCCUUGUAGUC
rnacentral:rRNA from 1 species